rnacentral:rRNA from 1 species
CCCGCUCAGAAACUUAAAGGAAUUGACGGGGGCCCGCACAAGCGGUGGAGCAUGUGGUUUAAUUCGACGAUACGCGAAGAACCUUACCCGGGUUUGACAUUGUAUCGAAGCAUCCAGAGAUGGAUGUGUCUCUUCGGAGACGGUAUGACAGGUGGUGCAUGGUUGUCGUCAGCUCGUGUCGUGAGAUGUUGGGUUAAGUCCCGCAACGAGCGCAACCCUUGUGUUUAGUUGCAAACAGGUCAAGCUGUGCACUCUAGACAGACUGCCGUGGACAACACGGAGGAAGGUGGGGAUGACGUCAAAUCAUCAUGCCCCUUAUGAUCUGGGCUACACACGUGCUACAAUGGCCGGUACAACGGGCAGCGAAGGAGCGAUCCGGAGCGAAUCCUAAAAAGCCGGUCCCAGUUCGGAUUGCAGGCUGAAACUCGCCUACAUGAAGUUGGAGUUGCUAGUAAUCGCGAAUCAGAAUGUCGCGGUGAAUGCGUUCCCGGGUCUU